CUGGCAGAGAGGAAACAGCCUCGCAGGCGGAGCUAAAUAAAGUCACAGCAGAUAACUAGUCCGCAACCAAACACCAAGAAUAAGACGAGGAGAGCAAGAAACCUGAAGGACCAAAGAGGAGAAAGUUUCAUCUCACUUCUCCUUCCCUCCACAUGCAGAGUAUCAUCAGCUCCUGAGGAAUUACUCCCACUCACGUUAAUCUCAACUGCUUAUCUCCGUCUGCUCGUGACGUACCGGACGUUUCAACGACAAACAGGUAACUCCUUCAGAGGACACAUGUCAUGUUCGUCACUGUCUCCUCCUCAUCAACUGGUCCGCUUACUUCUGUAAAUCAGUGUGAGCCGAGCUGAGCGAGUGACAACAGCAGCGACGGAGACGACCACAGGAUGGACGCCAGAGAAGAGACGCUGUACAUCCUGAGGAAUAUAUGGGUGAAGCUGCAGGGUCUCCCCAAUGCCAGCACCAUAGAGCUGGGAGCCUUCCUUGUCAUCCUAACCUUCAUCUUGGUGGUCCUGUUAAUGACAGCGCUGACCUGUGUCAACUACUGCUGCUGCUGCUGCCGCUGCUGUCGCAAGACAAAGAUGAAGGGAUCGAACAUUUGAGAGAACGUUCGCCACACGAGGGGGAAACAGGACGUGGGGAAAAAGGUCCUCAAAAAAACAACAAAAGGCUUUUCUCUGCAGAUUACUCAGACAUUCGAGACUUUUCAGUGAGCUUUGAGCGGCACUAGAGGAGCCCAACCCUUGAACAACAGAACAGCUGACAAACACAAUGAAGGAUGCCAAACACACCCGCUGAAGCUGCCAGGGUUUCAGGAGGAUCUACAUUCUUUGGAGCAUCUCCGCGCUUUACAGAGCAACCACAACCCCUCUGACCCGAGGAAACCCAAAAGUGUCUUCAAUAAUGCCGCUAAUACACGGAAUAUGAGCUACAAAUAUGUGUAGGAUGAUUAAAAAAAACUGCAGUGAGUUGCACAGUGAAACAUAAAUGGGGAAGACAAAUUGGUUUGUUAACGUGUCAUACUUAAGGAACGAGAGCUGUCAGAAUCACACCCAACCUGUUUGGUUCGGUUUAAACAAUUUGAAGUCUUGUUUGCCGGUUAGUACAGUUUAUUUGGGCUGAUGUUAAAGCUGUCAAUCAAACCCUGGUCUGCUUCAAAGGGCACUCUGGCGCAGUUCCUUUGUGGUGUGAAAGCAGACGAACUAGAUACGUGGUUCUAGCAUGAUUUCAAAAGCUAAAUGACCAAUAAAUCCUUCUGCCGAGGGUGAAAUCUGUUCAGGAAGUCAUCUUUUUAUUGGGCCACGUAUAUAUAACCUGUUUAUGCAAAUCAUUUGGUAAUAACAGUAUCACGUAUGCACGUCAGCGCAGGUAUUUUCCC